UGUAAGAGACGAAUCUGUGGUUGUCGAGAAUGAUGAGCAUGUGGACUGUGUCAUCCUGGAUGAUGGGGGAUUCCUAGUAUGGCCAAUCGGGAUGAAUACAUCGGUCAGAUCGGCCAGUUCUUCGGGAUGAUCGACCCUAUCCUCAUGGUCAACCUGGUCAACAUGUCUCUGUUCACGCUCAACAAGACAUACGACUACCAGUCGGUCUGCGACCCCAAGAGGGAGAGCAAGGGUCCGCGGCGGGCCUGCGCUCAGUCUACGUGCCCACCAUAGCAGACAUUUUGAACGUUGGAUGGUUAGCAUCAGCAGCAGCCUGGUGAGACCCAACUCUUGGUUCUUUAACACUGUUCCCAGUGCAGAUGUAAAGAUACAGAGGCAGUCUGUGGGCCAUCUGUGUAAGCAUUCUACAGGUCCCAGAGCACUUUGUUUACACUAGCUCGCCUUCUGUCCUGAUUUCAUUAGCUGUGUGUCUUACAAUAUGUCCAAUAAAAUKAGAUUUGUUUACAGGGAGGCUAACACACUGUCAUAUUUUUCCACACAAAGGCUUUUUGAUUAUGACAUUUGCGGUUCCUUCGCUAAAAGCCAAUAAACUCGCCAUCUGAAUGGAAAUCUGUAAG